UACGUAGGGUGCGAGCGUUGUCCGGAAUAUUGGGCGUAAAGAGCUCGUAGGCGGUGUGUCACGUCGUUCGUGAAAACCUGCAGCUUAACUGUGGGCGUGCGGUCGAUACGGGCAUCACUGGAGUUCGGCAGGGGAGACUGGAAUCCUGGUGUAGCGGUGAAAUACGCAGAUAUCAGGAGGAACACCGGUGGCGAAGGCGGGUCUCUGGACAGUUCCUGACGCUGAGGCACGAAGGCCAGGGGAGCAAACGGG
rnacentral:rRNA from 1 species